GGCGGGGUAGCUCAGAAGGUUAGAGCGGGAGAUUCAUAAACUCCAGGUCGGCAGUUCGAUUCUGCCCCCCGUCACCA
rnacentral:tRNA from 1 species